rnacentral:rRNA from 1 species
GACGAACGCUGGCGGUGUGCUUAACACAUGCAAGUCGAACGGUAAGGCCCUUUCGGGGGUACACGAGUGGCGAACGGGUGAGUAACACGUGAGUAACCUGCCCUCAUCUCUGGGAUAACAGUCGGAAACGGUUGCUAAUACUGGAUAUGAGCUUGCAAGGCAUCUUGUGGGUUGGAAAGAUUUUUUUUGGUUGGGGAUGGACUCGCGGCCUAUCAGCUUGUUGGUGAGGUAGUGGCUCACCAAGGCUUCGACGGAUAGCCGGCCUGAGAGGGCGACCGGCCACAUUGGGACUGAGAUACGGCCCAAACUCCUACGGGAGGCAGCAGUGGGGAAUAUUGCACAAUGGACGGAAGUCUGAUGCAGCAACGCCGCGUGCGGGAUGACGGCCUUCGGGUUGUAAACCGCUUUCAAUUGUGACGAAGCUUUUUUGUGACGGUAGCAGUAGAAGAAGCACCGGCUAACUACGUG